rnacentral:lncRNA from 1 species
GUUAGUGAGACCAUCAUGCAAGGUUUUCUUAUCAAAUUGCCAUGGCCUCCCUAAUAAGAUAUGGCAAGCUUCCAUAGGCACUACAUCACAUAAAACUUUGUCUUUGUAGUUCCCUAUGGAAAACUUGAUUUCCACUUGCUUGUCUACAUGUAGUUCCCCAUUUUCAUUAAGCCAUUGAAGUUUGUAAGGUUUUGGGUGAGGAACUA